CGCCGCCGCCGCCGGAGGAGCGCCCCCUAGCGGCCGACCUCCCUCCCUCCCUCGCUCGGCCGACGCCGGGCGAAGAUUCAUCUUCCGCAGGUAGCGGUCUCCCGCGGCGCGCUCCUGCUCGUCGGAGGAGCUGGGUCUGGGGCUGCGAAGGACAAUGGCUCUUCAGUGAAUGCCUUCGCCAGCCUGCCCUUCCAGCAGGAUCCGCGCGCGGUGCUCGGCCCCUGCAAUUCUAUCCACGCGACAGCCCAGUGAGGGAAAAGAUCUCACCAGAAAUGACGUAACCCUCGUCCCCCGGCAACUGUGUGUGUUGAGAGUUAGAGAGAGAAAAACGCAUUGCAACAUCAUGAUGCAAACUUCAUCCCUUAUGUGCAACAUUGCAGGCCAACCCACUGUGCAAAUAAAAUGAAAUAUAAAAAUGGGAUAUUUUACCUGCAGUAGUAUAAAAGGAGGCACAGCAAGACAAGUAGUAUAAGAGCCAUCCCUCCGAGAAUUGCCAAAAGAAACACUGUAUGGCAACAUGGCCAAUGGUGAGGAAUGCUGGGAGGUGCAGUUCCACAAAAUCCAGAAGACAAAAAGCCACCUACACCUGCUACAGAAGUUUGCUUAGUUCCCAACCUUUCGUGUUUAUGUCCCAUCAAUCACUCUGUCGAAGAAUCUGAGACCCACCAAAAAGCUCAUUUUUCCCAGCACGUUUUGCUGACUCAGUAUGAUGGGAACUGUAGUCCAACAUAUCCAAAAGGCAGCAGAUUGGGAAGGCUGACGUAGGGGCUAUGGAAGUUGUUUUAAAGUUACCAGGCAACAGUCUAAAUAAACAUGGUUUGAUCAGGGGUCACAUCCUCCUCACUUUCCUCAAUUGUUUCAUUUUAUUUUUUUUUUGCAUGGCCUCCAGCCAGCUGCAGUUUUUCCUUCAGCUGGCUACUGUUUUAUAAUAGAGACAUCACGAUUUGGCAAACCUAUAUAAGCUAUCCUGGAUAUCUGGGGACACUGGUAAGUAAAAAAUGAAUAUUUGCAUGCAAUCUCUAG